UUCUCCUCCAUUCGCUCCAUUUCACGCUCUAGGAAAAUGAAUGAAAACCGCGAAUUGAGGUCAGGGAUUCGUGUUGGCGUUCCCUUGACUGGUUUUCUCAUAUGGGCGAAGACAAACACCGUGACUACUGAACCCUCAAGCAACAAGAACGCGUUAUGGAAAGAAAAGACAAUACCUUUGAUCUUGCGCUGAAUGUCGCUUGUAUAGUUGUCGAUCAUCAAGGCCUCAUGAUCCUUGUCCAUGCGGAUCAAUGCGGCUGGGGUGUUAUCUCGGGAUCGGAGAGCAAUCAAGUAGUCCUCCAUCAAAGGUAGGAUCUUCACAUUCAUAUCCUGGUAACGAGAAAGCAUCUCCAACGAUUCGUUGACCAAGCGGUCGAUAUCGGACAGAUGAUCGAUAGUGAUUUCACGCUCACGCUCGGC